rnacentral:rRNA from 1 species
GACGUAGGGCGCGAGCGUUGUCCGGAUUUAUUGGGCGUAAAGAGCUCGUAGGCGGCUUGUUGCGUCAGCUGUGAAAACCCGCAGCUCAACUGUGGGCUUGCAGCUGAUACGGGCAGGCUUGAGUUCGGUAGGGGAGACUGGAAUUCCUGGUGUAGCGGUGAAAUGCGCAGAUAUCAGGAGGAACACCGGUGGCGAAAGCGGCUCUCUGGUCUGUUACUGACGCUGAGGCGCGAAAGCUAGGGGAGCAAACGGG